GAAUGCAAAUAUCACAUGACUAGCAUGCUUAUGGAGUGAUGCCAGUUUGAACUCACAUCUUGAUUUUUUUCUCAAUAAUAGAUUAUUUCUCAUCAUUUUGGGGACAUACACCAACAAUGUAAAUAUUGGUAUGCACGAAUAAAAUAGUAUUCUUAUUGUUCUUUCAGUGGCUAUGUGGAACUUUGAGUUUCAAAGGGAAUUUUAUAUUUUAAUAUUUAUUUUUCAAGUGUGUGUGCAUGUAUGCGUGUUAUGUGUGUGUGUGUGUGUGUGUGUGUGUGUGUGUGUGUGUGUGUGUGUGUGUGUGUAUGCAGGUGCUCUUGGAAUCUGGAGGACAGCAUUGAUAGAUCUCAUGAAGCUGGGGUUUCAGGCAGUGGACAUAUGUGCUAGAAUCCAAAUGCCAGUCUUCCGCAAGAGCAGCAAGCGCUCUUGAGUUUUAAGCCAUCUUUCCUGUCUACAGAGAGUUUUAUCUCUCAUGGUAGUUCUUCCUUUUGUAUUUGCAAUCUGAAUAAAACAUGUCUUAAAGAAUGAGAAUUCCCAACCCUGAGUAAAACAAAAUACUUCUCCAACACUUGAACCUUCCAAGUCCCUUUGUGGGUUAUUUCUUUCCUCAAAACUUAUACUAAUUAAUAUUUAUGCCUCAGAAUCUAUAAAAGCCAAAACCAAACCCAACCAAAACAAAAGAAAAAACCAAAACAAAAAAAGAAA
rnacentral:lncRNA from 1 species